UACGGAGGGGGGCUAGCGUUUGUUUCGGAUUUACUGGGCGUAAAGGGCGCGCAGGCGGCUUUAUUUUUGUCAGGCGUGAAAGCCCCGGGCUUAACCUGGGAACUGCGUUUUGAUACGGAUGGGCUAGAGUUCGGGAGAGGAGAGUGGAAUUCCCAGUGUAGAGGUGAAAUUCGUAGAUAUUGGGAAGAACACCGGUGGCGAAGGCGGCUCUCUGGACCGAGACUGACGCUGAGGCGGCG
rnacentral:rRNA from 1 species